CAGCACCUCAAGUGGUCAGGAUGAUUAUUGGGCCUAAAGCAUCCGUAGCCGGCGCUGUAAGUUUUCGGUUAAAUCUGUACGCUCAACGUACAGGCUGCCGGGAAUACUGCAGCGCUAGGGAGUGGGAGAGGUAGACGGUACUCGGUAGGAAGGGGUAAAAUCCUUUGAUCUAUUGAUGACCACCUGUGGCGAAGGCGGUCUACCAGAACACGUCCGACGGUGAGGGAUGAAGCCCUGGGUCGCGAACCGGAUUAGAUACCCGAGUAGUCC
rnacentral:rRNA from 1 species